CAGAGCCAAGCUCGGUCAUGGGCAGUUCAGAGAGAUGGCGUGAGGUCUGUUGUUCAAUCAAUACAUCUGGGCUACAUAGAAAUUAAGAGAGUACCUGCUUCCCCAGCUCCUCCUUGAUCUUCUGGCUAUGGGAUCCUUCAGCUGGCCCAAUGGAAGAUAAGAAUCUGUAAUCCCGGCCACUCCAGAGGUGGUCAAGGCUCACUUGGGCUAGAGAGUGAAAUUCAUGGCCAGUCUUGACAGCUUGGUGGAUCUUCAAAAGGACAAGGAGCUUAACAUCUUAUAUACAAAUUCCACAUCCUCCACAAAGAAGAUCAUAUCCGUCCUUGGUUGUACAGCUCAGCAGUCUGAACUCGCUGUAAUCAAUCAGCUUUUAUUGGAUGUUUCUCAACCAUUGAAUAUUUUAACUGACUCUGCAUAUUGUGAUCAAAUUGUUUCUCUUUUAGAAACUGCAAGACUUAAACCUAAGCUCACUACUUAUUUCACGAUUUUUCUCUUCCUUCAGAUGUCUAUAUUACAAUGACAUCCUUUCUUCAAAACUCAUAUCCCUGCCGAUUCUAAUUUGCCAGGUCCCUUAACAUCUGCUAAUGCUCAAGCCUAUGUGCCUUGCCCUUAAUACUUCCUUUUCAGGCUGCUUAAAAAAAAUAAAAAAUAAAAAAUAAAAAUCA